rnacentral:rRNA from 1 species
GACCACAGCAAUACUACCCUGAACAUGCCCAAUCUCGUCUGAUCUCAGAAGCUAAGCAGGGUCAGGUCUGGUUAGUACUUGGAUGGGAGGGAUGGGGGAAAAUACACCCUGCAGCCU